rnacentral:rRNA from 1 species
CUUCCCUCUGGCGGCGUGCCUAAUACAUGCAAGUCGAGCGAACAGACGAGGAGCUUGCUCCUCUGACGUUAGCGGCGGACGGGUGAGUAACACGUGGAUAACCUACCUAUAAGACUGGGAUAACUUCGGGAAACCGGAGCUAAUACCGGAUAAUAUAUUGAACCGCAUGGUUCAAUAGUGAAAGACGGUUUUGCUGUCACUUAUAGAUGGAUCCGCGCCGCAUUAGCUAGUUGGUAAGGUAACGGCUUACCAAGGCAACGAUGCGUAGCCGACCUGAGAGGGUGAUCGGCCACACUGGAACUGAGACACGGUCCAGACUCCUACGGGAGGCAGCAGUAGGGAAUCUUCCGCAAUGGGCGAAAGCCUGACGGAGCAACGCCGCGUGAGUGAUGAAGGUCUUCGGAUCGUAAAACUCUGUUAUUAGGGAAGAACAAAUGUGUAAGUAACUAUGCACGUCUUGACGGUACCUAAUCAGAAAGCCACGGCUAACUACGUG